UAAAGUUACCUGGCGGUGCUUGGGAC
rnacentral:piRNA from 1 species